rnacentral:rRNA from 1 species
GACGAACGCUGGCGGCGUGCUUAACACAUGCAAGUCGAACGGAAAGGCCCUGCUUUUGUGGGGUGCUCGAGUGGCGAACGGGUGAGUAACACGUGAGUAACCUGCCCUUGACUUUGGGAUAACUUCAGGAAACUGGGGCUAAUACCGGAUAGGAGCUCCUGCUGCAUGGUGGGGGUUGGAAAGUUUCGGCGGUUGGGGAUGGACUCGCGGCUUAUCAGCUUGUUGGUGGGGUAGUGGCUUACCAAGGCUUUGACGGGUAGCCGGCCUGAGAGGGUGACCGGCCACAUUGGGACUGAGAUACGGCCCAGACUCCUACGGGAGGCAGCAGUGGGGAAUAUUGCACAAUGGGCGGAAGCCUGAUGCAGCAACGCCGCGUGCGGGAUGACGGCCUUCGGGUUGUAAACCGCUUUCGCCUGUGACGAAGCGUGAGUGACGGUAAUGGGUAAAGAAGCACCGGCUAACUACGUGCCAGCAGCCGCGGUGAUACGUAGGGUGCGAGCGUUGUCCGGAUUUAUUGGGCGUAAAGGGCUCGUAGGUGGUUGAUCGCGUCGGAAGUGUAAUCUUGGGGCUUAACCCUGAGCGUGCUUUCGAUACGGGUUGACUUGAGGAAGGUAGGGGAGAAUGGAAUUCCUGGUGGAGCGGUGGAAUGCGCAGAUAUCAGGAGGAACACCAGUGGCGAAGGCGGUUCUCUGGGCCUUUCCUGACGCUGAGGAGCGAAAGCGUGGGGAGCGAACAGGCUUAGAUACCCUGGUAGUCCACGCUGUAAACGGUGGGUACUAGGUGUGGGGUCCAUUCCACGGGUUCCGUGCCGUAGCUAACGCUUUAAGUACCCCGCCUGGGGAGUACGGCCGCAAGGCUAAAACUCAAAGGAAUUGACGGGGCCCCGCACAAGCGGCGGAGCAUGCGGAUUAAUUCGAUGCAACGCGUAGAACCUUACCUGGGUUUGACAUGGAUCGGGAGUGCUCAGAGAUGGGUGUGCCUCUUUUGGGGUCGGUUCACAGGUGGUGCAUGCCUGUCGUCAGCUCGUGUCGUGAGAUGUUGGGUUAAGUCCCGCAACGAGCGCAACCCUUGUUCACUGUUGCCAGCACGUUAUGGUGGGGACUCAGUGGAGACCGCCGGGGUCAACUCGGAGGAAGGUGGGGAUGACGUCAAGUCCUCAUGCCCCUUAUGUCCAGGGCUUCACGCAUGCUACAAUGGCUGGUACAGAGAGUGGCGAGCCUGUGAGGGUGAGCGAAUCUCGGAAAACCGGUCUCAGUUCGGAUUGGGGUCUGCAACUCGACCUCAUGAAGUCGGAGUCGCUAGUAAUCGCAGAUCAGCAACGCUGCGGUGAAUACGUUCCCGGG